GCCUUAGUUGCCAGCAGUUCGGCUGGGCACUCUAAAAGGACUGCCGGUGUUAAACCGGAGGAAGUGGGGAUGAUGUCAAGUCCUCAUGGCCUUUAUGACCAGGGCUACACACGUACUACAAUGGCCGAUACAAAGGGCAGCGACACUGCGAGGUGAAGCCAAUCCCGUAAAAAUCGGUCUCAGUCCGGAUUGGAGUCUGCAACUCGACUCCAUGAAGUUGGAAUCGCUAGUAAUCGUGGAUCAGCAUGCCACGGUGAAUACGUUCCCGGGCCUU
rnacentral:rRNA from 1 species